UGUCCACUUACCACUUCUGCCUUUGUUCAAACUUUGCCAACGCUCAAUAUUUUAUAGUCUGUAUGAUGCGAUAUGAUGUAGAUGAUGUAGACUUUUAUUCGGGUUUCAUUUUGUUCGUUUUCUUAUAACUUGAAUGAGCAUAAUAAUUCUAGUCCUAAUCUUAGCCCGAAUCCCAAAGUUACCAUAAAUAUCACCCUUAUCUUAUUAACAGCAAUCUUCAACUAUAACUGUCUAUAAUGCUAACCCUCGUCCGCGACCGCCAACUCCAAUUUUAAUCUUUUAUAAUUUAUGCUUUAUUUGAUCUCAUACUGUGUUACUGGAUAUCUGGUCACAACUAAUUCACUACAUCACAGCAUGCCUAGUCUCCUACAUAGUAAGAUAUUUUCGUAUGUGAUGUCAUUCCAAAUUCCAAAACCUCGCGUUUUGAUAAGAGACGUUAUCUUCAUGAUCACGUUUCGUUGUCUUCAGCUCGUA
rnacentral:lncRNA from 1 species